rnacentral:rRNA from 1 species
GUUGGAUCUUGUCGGACCUGAACGUGCUAUCGGAUCAAUCACAGCCGAUGCGAGUCAUUGUAGCUAUCAAGGCAGACGGGUCCAGUAACGCGUAGUCAGUCCUACCUAUGGACGGGGAUAACAUUGGGGAAACUUGAGAAUGAUACCCGAUAGAACACUAUACUUGAAAUGAUUUGAUGUUCCAAAUAAUUUAUUGCCGUAAGAUGGGGACUGCGGCCUAUCAGUUUGUUGGUGAGGUAAUGGCCUACCAAGACUAUUACAGGUACGGGCUCUGAGAGGAGUGCCCGGAGAUGGGUACUGAGACACGGACCCAGGCCCUAUGGGGCGCAGCAGGCGAGAAAACUUUGCAAUGUGCGAAAGCACGACAAGGUUAAUCCGAGUGGUUUCUGCUAAAGGAACCUUUUGACAGUCCUAGAAACACUGUUGAAUAAGGGGUGGGCAAGUUCUGGUGUCAGCCGCCGCGGUAAAACCAGCACCUCAAGUGGUCAGGAUGAUUAUUGGGCCUAAAGCAUCCGUAGCCGGCUCUGUAAGUUUUCGGUUAAAUCUGUACGCUUAACGUACAGGCUGCUGGGAAUACUGCAGAGCUAGGGAGUGGGAGAGGUAGACGGUACUCGGGAGGAAGUGGUAAAAUGCUUUGAUCUCUCGAUGACCACCUGUGGCGAAGGCGGUCUACCAGAACACGUCCGACGGUGAGGGAUGAAAGCUGGGGGAGCAAACCGGAUUAGAUACCCGGGUAGUCCCAGCUGUAAACUAUGCAAACUCAAUGAUGCACUGGCUUAUGGCCAGUGCAGUGUUGCAGGGAAGCCGUUAAGUUUGCCGCCUGGGAAGUACGUACGCAAGUAUGAAACUUAAAGGAAUUGGCGGGGGAGCACCACAAGGGGUGAAGCCUGCGGUUC